rnacentral:rRNA from 1 species
UACAGAGGGGGCAAGCGUUGUUCGGAAUUACUGGGCGUAAAGGGCGCGUAGGCGGCUUCUCAAGCGUGCGGUGAAAGUCAGGGGCUCAACCCCUGAUCGGCCGUGCGAACUGGGGGGCUGGAGCACUGUAGAGGCAGGCGGAAUUCCGGGUGUAGCGGUGGAAUGCGUAGAGAUCCGGAAGAACACCGGUGGCGAAGGCGGCCUGCUGGGCAGUGGCUGACGCUGAGGCGCGACAGCGUGGGGAGCAAACAGG